rnacentral:miRNA from 8 species
CCUGCACUCUGCUGCUUAACA